CCUACGGGUGGCAGCAGUGAGGAAUAUUGGUCAAUGGACGAGAGUCUGAACCAGCCAAGUAGCGUGAAGGAUGACUGCCCUAUGGGUUGUAAACUUCUUUUAUAUGGGAAUAAAACGUUCCACGUGUGGGAUUUUGUAUGUACCAUAUGAAUAAGAAUCGGCUAACUCCGUGCCAGCAGCCGCGGUAAUACGGAGGAUCCGAGCGUUAUCCGGAUUUAUUGGGUUUAAAGGGAGCGUAGGUGGAUUGUUAAGUCAGUUGUGAAAGUUUGCGGCUCAACCGUAAAAUUGCAGUUGAAACUGGCAGUCUUGAGUACAGUAGAGGUGGGCGGAAUUCGUGGUGUAGCGGUGAAAUGCUUAGAUAUCACGAAGAACUCCGAUUGCGAAGGCAGUUCACUGGACUGCAACUGACACUGAGGCUCGAAAGUGUGGGUAUCAAACAGGAUUAGAUACCCUAGUAGUC
rnacentral:rRNA from 1 species